GAUGAACGCUGGCGGCGUGCCUAAUACAUGCAAGUCGAGCGAACAGAUGAGGAGCUUGCUUCUCUGACGUUAGCGGCGGACGGGUGAGUAACACGUGGAUAACCUACCUAUAAGACUGGGAUAACUUCGGGAAACCGGAGCUAAUACCGGAUAAUAUUUUGAACCGCAUGGUUCAAUAGUGAAAGACGGUUUUGCUGUCACUUAUAGAUGGAUCCGCGCUGCAUUAGCUAGUUGGUAAGGUAACGGCUUACCAAGGCAACGAUGCGUAGCCGACCUGAGAGGGUGAUCGGCCACACUGGAACUGAGACACGGUCCAGACUCCUACGGGAGGCAGCAGUAGGGAAUCUUCCGCAAUGGGCGAAAGCCUGACGGAGCAACGCCGCGUGAGUGAUGAAGGUCUUCGGAUCGUAAAACUCUGUUAUUAGGGAAGAACAAAUGUGUAAGUAACUGUGCACGUCUUGACGGUACCUAAUCAGAAAGCCACGGCUAACUACGUG
rnacentral:rRNA from 1 species